rnacentral:tRNA from 1 species
GUCUGGCUGGCUCAGUCGGUAGAGCAUGCAACUCUUGAUCUCAGGGUUGUAAGUUCAAGCCUCAUGUUGGAUG